rnacentral:lncRNA from 1 species
AUCCCCCUUAGCAACACAAUUCUGUUCUCUAUGUCUGCGAGUCUAUUUCUGUUCUGUAGACAGGUUCAUUUGUGCUGUAUUUUAUCUAUUUAUUUCUAUUUCUCUCUCUUAUCUUUAAUUAUUCAAUGAAUUUAUCACACCUGUAGUUGUGCAAUGAUCAUCACAAUCCAAUUUCACAGGAUUUCCAUCCCACAACCCAAGCACAUCCCUCCACUCCCCAAACUAUCUCCUCUGGAGAGCACAAGUUUUCCAAUAUCUGUGAGUCAGCAUCUGUUCUGCAAAGAAGUUCAGUCUGUCCUUUUUUCAGAUUCCACAUUUCAGUGAAAGCAUUUGAUGUUGGAGUCUCAUUGUAUGGCUGACUUCACUCAGCAUGAUAAUUUCUAGGUCCACCAACGUUGCUAAAAAUACCAGUAUUUCAUUCCGUUUAAUGGCCGAGUAAUAUUCCAUUGUGUAUAUGUACUAAAAAUCUUCUUGAUCCACUCCUCCGUCGAUGGACAUUUAGGUUGUUUCCAUGUCUUGGCUAUUGCACAUAGUGCUGCAAUGAACAUUGGAGUACAUGUGUCUUUGCAAGUCCUGGUUUUCCCUGGAUAGAUGCCCAGGAGUGGGAUUGCUGGAUCAAGUGGUAGUUCUAUGUUUAGUUUCCUGAGGACUCUCCAUACUGUUUUCCACAGUGGUUGCACCAAUUUACAAUCAAUCCCACCAAGAGUGUAAUAGGGUUCCUUUUUCUCCACACCCUCUCCAGCACUGAUUGUUUGUAGACGUUUUGAUGAUGGCCAUUCCGGCCGGUGUAAGGUGGUACCUCAUCAUGGUCUUAAUGUGCAUUUCUCUAAUAAUGAGUGAAGUUGAACGUCUUUUCUUGUAUUGUUUGGCCAUCUGUAUGUCUUCUUUGGAGAAUUGUCUGUUUAGAUCUUCUGCCCAUUUUUUGAUGGGGUUGUUUGUUUUUUUGGUAUGGAGCUGCAGAAGGUGUUUAUAAAUUUUGGAGAUUAAUUCCUUGUCAGUCGCUUCAUUUGCAAAGAUGUUCUCCCAUUCUGUGGGUUGUCUUUUUGUUUUGUUUAGGGUUUCCUUUGCUGUGCAGAAACUUUGAAGUUUAAUUAAGUCCCAUUUGUUUAUUUUUGUUUUUAUUGUCGGUACUCUAAGAGGCGGAUCUGAGAAGAUGUUGCUGCCGUUUAUGUCAGAGAGUGUUUGGCCUAUGUUUUCCUCUAAGAGUUUGAUAGUGUCUGGUCUUACAUCCAGGUCUUUAAUCCCUUCUGAGUUUAUUUUUGUGUAUGAUGUUCGGGAGUGUUCUAAUUUCAUUCUUUUCCAUGUGGCUGUCCAGUUUUCCCAGCACCACUUAUUGAAGGGGCUGUCUUUUCUCCAUUGUAUAUUCUUGCCUCCUUUGUCAUAGAUUAGUUGACUGUAGGUGCAUGGGUCUAAUUCUGGGCUUUCUAUCCUGUUCCACUGAUCUAUAUGUCUGUCUUUGAGCCAGUACCAUAUGGUUUUGAUGAUUGUUGCUUUGUAGUAUAGUCUGAGGCCAGGCAACCUGAUUCCUCCAGCUCCAAGUUUCACUUUCAGGAUGUCUUUGGCUAUGCUGGGUCUUUUGUGCUUCCAAACAAACUUUAAAAUAUUUUGUUCAAGUUCUGUGAAAAAUGUCCUUGGUAAUUUGAUAGGGAUUGCAUUGAGUCUGUAGAUUGCCUUGGGUAAUAUAGCCAUUUUGAUAAUAUUGACUCUUCCAAUCCACGAGCAUGGUAUGUCUUUCUGUCUGUUUGUGUCAUCUUUGAUUUCUUUCAUCAGCGUCUUCUAGUUUUCAGAGUACAGGUCUUUUGUCUCUUUAGGUAGGUUUACUCCCAGGUAUUUUAUUCUUUUUGGUGAAAUGGUAAGCAGGAUUACUCCCCUAAUUUCUCUUUCUGUUCUUUCAUUGUUAGUGUAUAGAAAUGCUGUCGAUUUCUGUGUAUUAAUUUUGUAUCCUGCGACUUUGCCAAAUGCAUGGAUGGGCUCUAAUAAUUUCCUGGUUGAGUCUUUAGCAUUCUCCAGGUACAGUAUCAUGUCAUCUGCAAAUAGUGAUAGUUUUACUUCUUCCUUUCCUAUUUGGAUUCCUUUUUAUCUCUUUGACUUCUCUGAUUGCUGUGGUUAAGACUUCCAAAAUUAUAUUGAAGAGUAGUGGUGAGAGCAUUUUUGCUAUGUUGUAGUUUUCACAUGUAAGUGAUAUCACAUGGUAUUUGUCUUAAUCUUUCUGACCACUUAGUAUGAGAAUUUCUGCUUGUAUCCAUGUUGUUACACAUGGCACUAUUUUGUUCUUUUAAAUGGCUGAGUAGUAUUCCAUUAUGUGUAUGUACCACAUCUUCUUAAUCCAUUCCUCUGUCUGUUGAUGGACAUUUAGGUUGCUUCCAUGUCUUGGCUAUUGUGAAUGGUGCUGCUAUGAACAUAGGGGUUCAAGUAUCUUUUUGAAUUGUAGUUUUAUACAGAUAUAUAUAGGAUAAUAUUCUAUCUAUAAUAGGAUUUUCUCAGGCAGAACAACAAAAAUAAUAAUAAAUUGGAAGGGCCACUUUAUGCCUGAUAUUGAAUACCCCUGCUACACCCACACAUUUCCUCCUCGUCUUAUAUCUUUAUUCCCCAUUAUGUCAUCAUCAUCAUUAUCAUCCCAAACAGAUUAGUCCAGGUUUCCUCACCAGGAAAAUUGUGUUGAUCACUGUCCUGCCCAAGACACUCAAAAGCCUUUUUGCAUCAUCUGUAUUGCUUUUUUGGAAGUAUAAGCUUCUCUCUGCCGUCAGGGAUGCCAUUUAAAUAAUUAAAGCUGUUGUUCUGAAAAUUGCAGUAUGCUCCUGUAAAUCACCAUACCCAGGAACACUUCCCUUCUCUUUUCCCUUUAUUGUCAUGUGAUUAAAGACCUUUAUCCCCCCGUAAGAUAGAUUUGGGUUUACAUCCAGGCUCUGCUGUAUGUUCAUAAGUUUUUAAUCUCCUGAUAUUCAGUAUUCUUGUUUGUGAGAGGGGGCAAAUAGGAUGCUCUUAUAGAGCUAUUGUAAAGCAUAGUUAAGGAAAUGUCUCUCCAGCCCUUAGUGUUGUGACUGGUUGUAAGAAAGAGAUUUAUAGCUGUUAGUUACUGCAACUCUUGUCAUUGAUGCUGUUGAUACUUGUUUGUUGAAGAAGCUAUACUGAGAGUGCUGGUUUGGCCCUGAGUUGAGAAGGAGCCUGGUAGCCUAACCAAGGGGCUUUCCUCCUGGGGACUUCGGCUGGGGCUGCAGUCAAGAGGGAGGGAGGCUCAGCUGUCUGCUGGUGAUCAUAGUUUGACAGUGAGGAUGCUUCAGGGGUUUCUUUCACCUUGGGUUGGUCAGGACAGGAGCUUCAUCAGGGCCUGAAUCUCUGAAUUGAGGAGCUAAUGGAAAUAAACUGUUUCUCAAAGUAGAACUUACAAAGAGCUCUGGAGCUCUCUGCUUAACCUCUGCAACAAGCCUCCUUUUGGUCCACAGUGAAUCUGCUGGCCCCAGAGUCUCUCUUUGCUAAUAGUCUAGUGCUUCUGUUGCUGCAUCAGAAGCCAUUGACCAAUCUCUUUCUACCCAUUCCAUUAACUAGAGCUUUCUGUCCCCUCUGUAAAACAUAUUGCCUAAGGCCUGGAGAAUGCAGAUUGCUUCUACCCAGUGGGCUGCUCUCUGUUUCAUCCUGGUUCUUCUGUUCUCAUCAGUGCAGUUGCGUACUUGCCAAGAGUCAGCUGUGUUGCUGCCCAUAUCUAUUUAUGCCAGUUCUGUUUGUUAUGUAAUUACAUAUUUCAAUUAAAUGUUUCACAACUGACUUAAUAUAAGUGCAGAAAGAGAGUUGUUGACUCAGUGAAUGUUUUGGAAACAGUAAGGUUGAGUUGUUAAAAGUGCUGUUGAGUUGGAUGUGGGUGAGACAAUUCUAAAAACCUUGGGGGUGGAGGGACUCAUAAAAACUAGAAAAGUCAACACCUGGAUUGUUUCACAAAGGUCUUUACUUUCUCUGCUUUAUAGAAGGCAAAUGUGGAAAUCCUAGUAGAUGAUGCAUUGUUUGAAUUGCUUAUGCAAGAGAGAUUGUAUGAAUUCUGGAUCAUUGUACUAUUUCAAAGUCAACUGUAAUAAUACAACUUGUCCUACAUCAAAAGCUUAAGAGUGAGUCUAAUGUGCACAUUUUAAGUUACAAUAAAAAUUUAAGGUGUGUAUGCAUCAUUUUUAAGGAUUUCCAGUAUUUAAACCAGUUGAACCAGUAUUUUUUAUUAAUUGACUCACUCCCUGUCUGGUCACAUGGGUGACAGUAGAGGACUUCUACAGUCCAAGGUACAGUACCACUGUGGUACCUGAUGCAUCUGCUAUCCAUAGCACAAGCUGUUUCAGGAACAGCCAGUAUGAUGGUGGGUUGUUUUUGAGCUGAUACCAUGAAGCAGGGCCCUAGGGUUGAUGAUGUAUUCCACACCCAAAGAAAUCGUGUGUGAUUAUCUACUCAUACUAACAUUUGAUGAAUAUUUUUUCAUACACUGCUUUAUUCAAUCUCAAAAUAGCCCUUGGGAGAUAGGAAUUAUCACUGUUUUAUAGUUGAGGUUCAGAGAAGUUAGAUGACUUAGUCUUAGUCACAUAUCAAGUAGAGACAUGGCUAAGAUAAGUCGCAGACUCUGAAUCUUGCAAUUUACCCAUCAAGACUGGUUUGCCUGUUGCUUUGAAUGGCAGCAUUAACUGAUCCACUCAGUACUGAGAUCUAGGUCCUGAUGCUGUUCAUUUUAAGCUUGAAUCAGCUCCACCUAAAUGUGGUUCUCACAUUCUUCAGAAUUGGAUCAGUUGGACCAGUUUGGGGCAAAGAAUAUGGUGCUGACCAUGUUCUGAUAAGCCAGGGUUUUGUCGAAGCCACAGAACUCCUGGUGAGCCCCGAAUUUUACUCUGGUGCUGGCUGUGCUACAGGUGUUCUGUGAGUGAGAGGACACACUAAAGCAUUCAAAGUGAGCCAUCAGGGUGAGAAGGGACUGCUUUUGGCAAUACAAGUCAUUUGCAUUGUUGCAAUAUCUGCUCCCUUUGGUGCAAGAUAAGGGUCUAUCAGAAUUUCCAUUAUUCCUCCUAUUCAAUAGGAGAGAUUUUUACCUCUGGUCUACAAUUUAGGACAAUUAUGUCAGCUCAGCUAGCACUGCUUUAUUAUUAAAAUCAUUGUUG